UACGUAGGGCGCAAGCGUUGUCCGGAAUUAUUGGGCGUAAAGAGCUCGUAGGCGGCUUGUCACGUCGGGUGUGAAAGCCCGGGGCUUAACCCCGGGUCUGCAUUCGAUACGGGCUAGCUAGAGUGUGGUAGGGGAGAUCGGAAUUCCUGGUGUAGCGGUGAAAUGCGCAGAUAUCAGGAGGAACACCGGUGGCGAAGGCGGAUCUCUGGGCCAUUACUGACGCUGAGGAGCGAAAGCGUGGGGAGCGAACAGGA
rnacentral:rRNA from 1 species